AUUUAAGUAGUUUAAAAAAAAUUUCAAUUUGUGGAAUUGAAAAUAUAAUUUAUUAUUAUCUUAAAUA
rnacentral:tRNA from 1 species